GGUCUGCUCUGCCUGCUCAUCGUAUUUGUCACUUCAUUGAAGUUAUUAUGAGUGUGUAUUUAGGUAUUGAUGUGAUCUUUUGACAAGUCUACAAAUGUGGGACAUUACUGAAAGAAGAAAUGUGGGGAAGAAGGCACCAUGGAAUGUCCAAGAAAGCAAACAGACUGGAUUUCUACCUAUAGUGAGAAUCCAAGGAGCCCAUGGAGUUCCUGUAGAAAGACCCCCCAGGAUGAGAAAGAAUCUCUGAUACAAAGUGGAACACAUUUGCCAUAUGGAUUAUCUCUGUCGGAGGCAUGAUAUUUAGUUCAUAGUGGGAAGAAUCCUGCCCAUUAUGUCCUCUUCCCUUGCCCAACUUGAAACUUUCUGAAAUGCUCCAUCCUAGAAGAUUUCCUCAAAUCAAUGAUUUUCAUGAAGGUAACAAAACUUCAGAAUUUGUGUGGCUGUUGGUUAUGUCUGCUUCAUCAGGAAAAAGGAAGAGUGAAGGUCAAGAUGAUUAUAUACCCUGACUAUCAUACAUACAGUACAGCAAUUUAAUGUAUGGAGAACUGAAGACUCUAGGGAACAGGGACUUUUGCCUAUUGUCAAUAGGCAUGGAUUACAAUUGGACCUCUGAGAAUAAUAGGUUCCAUGUGUCAGUCAAUCUAUGAUCUUGAGUGCAACCAAGGAUUGGCGACUUCUCUUGUGCUUCUUUCAUGGAGAUGAAUCCAUAAACCGGAAAUGAAGGCCUGUGGAUUCCUUCAUGGUUAACAGAUAUCAGGUUUGAUCAGAGAAGACCUCCUAAAAAUCUUGGCUACAGACAUAGAGUAAUAAACCAAGAAAGAGUACCAGACAGGUGACAUAUAUACUGACCCCUCUGCAUGGGAAUAGUUCCAAGACAGCACAAAUGCUACAACUACUCUUCCCAGGAAUUGACUAUUAUCUCAAUUUUCUCAGGGUCUCCUAAAGAUGCUGUCACCAUCAGACAACAGGAAGCAGUUUAGAGAACAUAAUUCCCACAUUCCCUAGAUGUGGGUAGGGUAGUUUUUGGCCAUUUGGUGGGUUAUGGAUGUUUGUCAUUGUUGGGGACGUAUAGGAAUAUAAGAUAAAAAGAAAAUGAUUUACCUCAAAUAUUUUGUAUUGGCAUGGAUUUUUGUAUGUUGAUACAAAUUUAAGGUUAUUUUUAUUAUACCAUGUAUAUAUUUGUACUCUUGUUUGAAGUAUUAUACCUA
rnacentral:lncRNA from 1 species